GGAUGCUCCAUUCUCCCCCAGCCAGCCCAAGCUGCGCGUGUUCCGGCGGAUUUCCGAGCCAGGAAAAACAGAAAAUACCAGACAUUUCACAUGAAAAGCAGCUCACAUAGUCUAUUAAUAUCCUAAUAUGAAUGCCUGUUUUUCUAUGAGAAGUAGAGAAAUCAUCUGUGGAACAGAGACAAACAACAAAAUGAAGUUCUAUUUAUCAGGGGGAUCUACAACCCAAAACAAAAGCCUUAUUGAUCAGAACAGAGGCACUGACUCAGGAAACUUUUCCCACUGCUUGUCCCAGCAAGACUCCUGGGAAGCUGCCUAUACCACUUGGCAGUAACCCAGACCGAUGGCAAUGGUACCAGCAAGUGUCUCCUCUCAGAAUGAAUCACUCUUCCCCGCUCCCUCACUUUCAAAGAGUUAAUUCCUAUGUCAGACAAUUGUGUAUUAUUGCUACCACCAAAGUGUGUCUCUUUUUGCAUACUUUGCUUUAAGUACUCUUUUGCUAUACAAUAAAUUGAUGCUGUUUUCUCUUCUAUUAAAUAAUGGAAAAUGCUUGGAUUAAAACAGAGGACUAUAAAUAAACUGAU